rnacentral:rRNA from 1 species
ACGCGCCGAACCUUACCAGGUCUUGACAUCCUCUGACACUCCUAGAGAUAGGACGUUCCCCUUCGGGGGACAGAGUGACAGGUGGUGCAUGGUUGUCGUCAGCUCGUGUCGUGAGAUGUUGGGUUAAGUCCCGCAACGAGCGCAACCCUUGAUCUUAGUUGCCAGCAUUUAGUUGGGCACUCUAAGGAGACUGCCGGUGACAAACCGGAGGAAGGUGGGGAUGACGUCAAAUCAUCAUGCCCCUUAUGACCUGGGCUACACACGUGCUACAAUGGAUGGUACAAAGGGCAGCAAAGCGGUGACGCCUAGCAAAUCCCAUAAAACCAUUCUCAGUUCGGAUUGUAGGCUGCAACUCGCCUACAUGAAGCUGGAAUCGCUAGUAAUCGCGGAUCAGCAUGCCGCGGUGAAUACGUUCCCGGGCCUUGCACUCACCGCCCGU